AGGCUGGACCCAGCCAGCCUCGAGGAUGGAAGAGAGGGACAUCAUGGUGGUGCUGGACUCCCUGCAGGGCUCAGCGGCUCCCUCAGGACAAGGAGAAAGCUGGGAACCCUAAGACAGAACUGGAGGUUCUUGUUGCCUAAAUCUCUCCUGGCCUGCUGCACAUGGAACCCAUUUCUUCCCAUUCAGGGCUCUGCAGAGACAGAAGAUGAACAGUAAAAUGCAAAGAUCUGGCGACCUUCAGAGCUGGGUCCCUGGGGACUCUGCAGAACCACCCAGAAGCCCCAAAGUGUGACAUCACCAGUUCAACAGCCUUCCCCACUCCCAUCACUUCCUGAAACAGCCAGAGCAAGAAGAUGAUGCAUGUGAGCCCUGCCCUUGGGAAGCUUCCAGGUUGGGAAAUGAGGAAUGAGCCUGACACCCAGGGCCCAGAGAGACCCAGGCCAGAGGCAGGCCAGGAGGCAGACACGCGCUGCUGGGUAAUGACGACAGCACCAGUAAUCACGGCUACUCCUUGUUAAGUACUUACUAAGUGCAAGACUCCAAGCUAAGCAAUUAAUAGACCUUUUCUUGUUUAAUCCUUACCACAAUUCCAUAGGAUGUUCUCACAGAGCUACACAUGCCAUGAUCAUCACUAGUUGCGAGAGUCUCCAGUGUUCAUUAAGCCUAUUUUGCUGGAAGUUUAGUCCCUGGAGGAUUAGUCCCUGCCCUUAAGGAGUGCCAAAGAAGACUUUGGAAUCUAAAUCACAUCUCCCCUGCUGCAAUUUUUUCCUCUUGAUAAUCAAGGAAACUCACUGAUAAAACUCUCAAUGAGGAGCAGCUCUCCCCAUGAGCAAGUUCUUGCCUUCAUUGCCAGGGAGGGCCCAGCUAAGGUUAUACUGGGAAAGGAAUCUCUGGGGAGUACCUGGAAAAGGUCAGCUUCUCCUCAAAGGAAGCCUCUCCAGCUGGUGUACUGCAAAGCCUUCUAAGACCAAGUUCCCUCCUCCUGACCUCUGGAACCAGCCUGUGUGCCAGUGCUGUGUCCCCAGUAACACACGAGUCUCUCCCUCAGAAGCCACAGAAGGAUGCAGAGAGAGACCAACCUGGGAUUGAUUCUCAGCCCUAGCACUUACUGUGUGGACAUAACUGCUCUGGACCUCAGCUUUGCUUUCUAUAAAAUGAGCACCAUUUUAUAGAUAUGAACCCUUUAAGAGAGUCAUAAAGAUUGAAGUUGAUCUGUGCU
rnacentral:lncRNA from 1 species